rnacentral:lncRNA from 1 species
AGGUAGAGGAAGAGAAGAAGAGGAAUCCAAGUCAAGCUAGCAAGAAAUUUCACAAGCAAGGAGAAUAAUAAGCCAAACUAAAGAGGUAUAACCCUAAAUCCCUCCUUUAUUUAAAUUUUCAUGUAAGACAACUAGAUAUAUGUUAGUAAACAUGUAUCACACUUAUAUACAUCUAUAUAUGUUGGAUCAUGGUGAUAAAUAACUUAGAUGAUGGAAAAAUGGUCAAGGAAAGCAAGAAAACCUAGAAAGGAACUAAACUAGUUUUGGUCAAAAGGGAAAAAUCUGACCUAAAAAUGUAACGAGCUUAACUUUUUGUAUAUUUCUAAUAUUUGGGUGAUUCCAAUUUUUUGUGAUAGAUAUGGAAGUUAUCUAAAUUUUUGCCUUGAUUUGAGGCCUAAAUUCCAUGCAUAUUAUUUUUGAUGGAAUUUCUACUGAAACAGUGCAAGCUAUUGAACAAAUUGAACUUUUUUUUAUGUGAACUUUUUUGGAUGCUUAACUUACCUGAAAAAUUACAGGCCUCUGGCAUAUGAAAGCUAUAGGCAUAGGGAAGGUCCUGUCCAAAAAUAAACAAAAUUGGAAUUAAAACAAAGAAGUUAUGGCCAAAACAAAAAAAAAUUGCACGGAAACUCGACAAGUUAAGUUCGUUAAUUCCAAUUGGGUUGAAAUUUUGGGAGUAAGCUCACAUAGAUACAUGGUAGGUUCUGUCCAAAAUUCUUAAUUUUUGGUCGUAAGCUUGAAUACUUUUAAUUGCUAAGUUUACGAAAGAAAUUAACCCAAAAUAAAUACUAAAAAUAAUUUGAAAAAUUUGGAGAAAUCGAAAAGGAUCUAAAAUGAAGUUAUCUAAGCAAAGACGGAAAGGGAAAAAAUAAUAAAUUGGUUAAGAUUGAUUUAUUGAAGAAGAUGGAAAACAAGAAAAAAUGGAAAAAAUAAUUUGAAUUGCCAGUAAAGCGUAAAACGUAAUGUAUAGGUAAAAACAUGUUAAAUAAUACAUAUAAAUAUAAGUAAGUGGAAAAAUAGUAAAUUUAAUACUUAAAACUAUAAAAUAAAUUUAGUUAAUACUUUGAAACAAGUUACGAUACCCGAAAUUAUCAUAACGAAAGUCUGUAUAGUUACCGACGGGAACUAUUGAAGGAAUUACUUAAGAAAGUUAUUAUAAAUGAUGUAGGGAAUCAUUUGUUAGUAAAACCUUAAAGGAAAUUAUAUAUAUAUUUAUAUGAACUUAUCUUGUAGAAAGUAAUAUGUCAAGGCUUAUACUUGGUACUAUGUCCUUAAGACAAUUAUGCCCUCCGUAUGGUGCUCAGAGUUGAUAGCACUUGUCUCCCAGGAUACAAUGACUUCGUAUACCUUAGCAGCACUACAAAAGGUAUACACAACGAACCAAAAGAAAUGCUCUAACUCUCUCUCAAAAAUACUAAGGAAACUGAUGAAAAAACUAUAUGCUACAAUGCUUUAGAAGACUAGAAUGCUUGAGAAAAUUGGAUGGAAAUAAAGGCUGCCGCUCCUAUCUAUUUAUAGGAGGGUUGGUGACCCUUUGGAUGGGUACAUCACCCAUGAAAAGGCAUGGGGUGCCUCUUGAAGAGGUAUUAUUUGUAUCUGUUGGUUAAAACGGCGUAGUUUUGACCAUAUACAGAAUAGGCACAUCUAUUCGGUUUAUUAAAACGACGUAGUUUAAGUGUUAGCAGAACCAAAACUACUUAGGUUUAGGCUUAGAAGAAAAGUCGCGACAAAAACAAUGCAGUUUAGGGCCGCCCGUUCAACCUUACAAAUACCGCUUCCUCAAAACGACACAGUUUUGAUAAUACCAUUUCUUAAAACAACACAGUUUUGAUAAUAUAAUAAAUACAGCUUUUAAAACGACACAGUUUUGAUAAUAGAAUUAAAUAAAUAAAAUUUAAAUAAAUUUUGUCUAAAAAAUUAUAUACAGGAUCCAGACCCAGACCCAGACCCACGACCCACGUGCCAAAGACAGGCCCGUGCGUGGGUUCGAACCUAGCCUUGGCUAGGUCCUCUCCCUUCCAUAAAAGUGGGGUGCCCCUUGGGUCCCAAACCCAAGAGCACUUUCCUUGUAUAUAAACAUAUAAAAUAUUUAAUUCCGAACCUAUGCGGGACUUGGUUUUUCCCACAUGUAUUUAUUAUCUUUUAUCAUGAUCUUUGGGAGUUAAUAUCUCAUUCAUUACUCCAUGGAUUUGAGCUUCCAAAUACUUAAUUUAAUCUACUCAUGGAGUAGAACACAUUAAUAUAUGAAAUCAUUAAAAUUAAUUAAUGACACCUAUUUAAUUUAGGCUUAAAUUCCAACAAUCCCCCACAUGAAUGAUAUUGACUUCCAGUCUUAUGCAAAUGUUAUGCAGACUCUGAGAGGGAGACAGAGAUAGAAUUAGAAAUCAUUUGUAUCGAGAGAGGUAGCUUUUGGCUUUGAACCUUCCCUUGUGAAAAACUAUCGGGUUUACUGGUUGUCCAGUGAACGUGAUGUCUUGAAUUGUCCAAUCGUUUGUGUAAAUCGAGACAAUAGUAAUUCACACAGAAUCUUUCUAGACAUUAUUUGGUUCUUUUGAUUUUGUUCAUUUUGGCCCCGAACAAUCCCGGAUUUAUGAGUCAUUUAGAGAUAUAUAGCCUUAUCCUUCUAAUAGAAUUGGCCCAGUUCACACUCAUAUAGGUGAUUCUUAAUAAGAGUAUCUUUCCAUACUCCACAUGUUUAUCAAGAUUUAAGAAUCAUUAAAAGCAAAUCUUAUCCUGUAACCGUUACAGGUAUCACUAUCUCGUAUCAUAGGAAUGAGCAGAAGAAAUUAAUUUCUUCAUAGUGAUUUGGUUGAAUCAUUCACAAUUUAGUUGUCCCUUUGAACCUAGAUCUUGGGAUCUCUAGUCAACUAGGUUGGGUUUCCAUCAUGAUGAUCCUUGUUUAUAGGCUUUAAACCCAUUCCCCUCGAAGUUAUUUUUACUUGCUCUCUAGUCAAACCUUUAGUCAACGGAUCCGCUAUAUUUUCUUUCGACUUUAUGUAUUCAAUAGACAUAAUGCCGUUAGAGAGCAAUUGUUUAUGGUAUUGUGUCUACGACGAAUAUGUCUAGACUUACCAUUAUACAUGUGACUCUAUGCCCUUCCAAUUGCUGAUUGACUAUCACAAUGAAUACAAAUAGGCGACAUAGGUUUAGGCCACAUAGGAUAAUCUUCUAAAAAGUUACGAAGCCAUUCAGCUUCUUCUCCAGCCUUAUCCAAUGAAAUAAACUCAGAUUCCAUCGUUGAUCGAGCAACGCAUGUCUGUUUAGAAGAUUUCUAAGAUACUGCUCCUCCACCUAGUGUAAACACAAAACCACUUGUGGAUUUAGAGUCUUUUGUAUCCGAUAUCCAACUCGCAUCACAGCAUCCUUCAAGUACUGCUGGAUAUCUUGAGUAGUGCAAUCAAAAAUUUUGAGUGUAUUUUAAAUACCUCAAUACUCUUAUAAUCGCUUUCCAGUGAUCUUAUCCUGGAUUGCUUGUAAAUCUACUCAAUUUAUUGACAGCUUGUGUUAUGUCAGGACGUGUACAAUUCAUUAAGUACAUAAGGCUUCCAAUUAUUUGUGCAUACUAAGGUUAUGAUAUGCUCUCUCCUUUAUUUUUAGACAAGUGUAGAUUUAUAUCUACCGGUGUUCCCACAGUAUUACAAUCAUAUUGAUUGAAUUUCCUAAGUAUUUUCUCAAUAUAUUGUGAUUGUGAUAACACUAAUCCAUUCGAUGUUUUAGAAAUCUUAAUUCCUAAUAUUACAUCGGCAACACCCAUGUUUUUCAUGUCAAACAUAUUAUUUAACAUUCUUUUAGUAGUUUUAAUGAUAUCAUUAUUACUACCCAUAAUGAGCAUAUCAUCUACAUAAAGACAAAUAAUAACAUACCCAUUCUUAGUGUCCUUGACAUAUACACAUUUGUCACACUCAUUUAUUUUGAAACCAUUUGAUAACAUUGCAUUAUCAAAUUUUUCAUGCAAUUGUUUAGGUGCUUGUUUCAAUCCAUAAAGAGAUUUUACAAGCCGAUAAACUUUCUUUUCUUGUCCUGGAACAAUAAAUCCUUCUGGUUGUUCCAUGUAUAUUUCUUCUUCUAAAUCUCCAUUUAAGAAAGCUGUUUUACAUCCAUUUGAUGUAUUUCUAAAUUAUAUAUAGCUGCAAUUGCUAUUAACAUCCUAAUUGAGGAUAUUCUUGUCAUAGGAGAAUAAGUAUCAAAAUAAUCCAAACCUUCCUUUUGCCUGUAUCCUUUGAUUACAAGUCUUGCUUUAUAUUUGUCUAUAGAUCCAUCUGCUUUCAUUGUCUUCUUGAAUAUCCACUUAUAUCCUAGAGGUUUAGAGCCUGGUGGGAGAUCUACUAAUUCCCAUGUAUGAUUAUGCAAAAUGGAUUCCACUCCACUAUUUAUAGCCUCUUUCCAAUAUGGAGCUUGAGGACUCGAUAUUGCUUCUUUAUAGGUUUGAGGCUCAUUUUCUAACAAAUAGGUUAGAAAAUCUGGACCAAAAGAUUUUGAUGUUCUAGAACGUUUACUAUGUCUAGGUUCAUCAAUAUCUUCUAAACCAUGAUUACUAUCAUUAACAGCAUCAUAAGUUCUUUUAUUUGAACUUGUUUCUUGUUCAUUAGAACUUGGCUCUUGUUCCUUUUUAUUAGGAAAUACUGUUUCAAAGAAUUCAGCAUCUUUUGACUCAAUAAUCAUAUUUUCAUGUAUUUCCUCUAUUUUUGAUUUAUUAACCAAAAAGCUAUAUGCACUGCUAUUAUUAGCGUAACCAAUGAAUAUACAAUCUAUUAUUUUUGGUCUUAUUUUCACCUUUUUGGGUGGAGGAACCAUUACUUUUUCUAAACACCCCCACACUUUUAAGAGUUUUGUAAGACGGCUUACGUCCUUUCCAUAAUUCAUAGGGUGUAACAUUAGACUUCUUUUGAGGUAUUCAGUUGAGAAUAUAAUUUGCUGAAAGAAUUGCUUCCCCCCACAAAUUCUGAGGUAGCCCAUGAACUUAAUAGCAAUGCAUUCAUCAUUUCUUUUAAAGUUAUAUUCUUUCUUUCUGCAACACCAUUUUGUUGUGGUGAAUAAGGUGCAGUUGUUUGGUGUAUUAUACCAUGUUGUGAACAAAUUUCAACAAAUGGAAAUUCAUAUUCCCCACCUCUAUCACUUCUAACUAUCUUGAUCUUUUUAUCAAGUUGAUUUUCAACCUCAUUUUUAUAAUGUUUAAACAUUUCCAAAGCCUCAUCUUUACUUCUCAAUAAGUAAACAUAACAAUAUCUUGUACAAUCAUCUAUAAAAGUGAUAAAGUAUUUCUUACCUCCUAUUGUUUGUAUAUACUUUAAAUCACAAAUAUCAGUAUGUAUUAAUUCAAGAGGUUCUGUACUUCUUUCAAUUGAUUUAAAAGAAGAUUUCCUAAGUUUUUCCUCAAUGCAAAUUUCACAUUUAUGAUUAGAGUUAAUCUCACAUUUUGGCAAACAUUCCAUAUUAAUUAAUCUACGUAUAGUAUUAUAAUUAACAUGUCCUAAUCUACCAUGCCAUAAAUUAGAUGACUCAAUCAUAUAAGCAGAAGAUGUAAUUUUAUUAAUAUUGGAAGGUACAACAGUCAUUACAUUCAUUUUGAAGAGCCCAUUGCUCAUAUAACCCUUCCCCACAUACAUCCCAUUUUUAGUUAAUACAAAUUUGUCUGAUACAAAGACUAGUUUAAAUCCCUUUUGACUAAGAAGGGAUCCUGACACUAAAUUUUUCCUAAUAUCAGGCACAUGGAGCACGUUGUUGAGGGUGAGUUCCUUGCCAGAUGUCAUCUUCAGAAUCACCUUUCCUUGUCCAGCUAUCUUUGAUGAAGAAGAAUUUCCCAUGUAUAGAUGUUCUCCAUUCUCAAUUUCUUGAUAUGUGGAGAACAUCUUCCUGUCGGAACACACGUGGCGGGUUGCUCCAGUAUCCACCCACCAUUCUCUUGGAUUCUCAACCAUAUUUAUUUCUGAAACAACCGCUGAAAGGUUCAUUUCAGAAACAUCUUGAAGAAGACUAUCCACUUCCGUUACAUUGGCUUGUGCAGACUUCUUGUUCUGGUCUUUGCGUUUUCGACAAUCCUUUGCCCUAUGUCCGGGCUUGUCACAGAUGUAGCAUUUGCCUUGGAACUUUUUAUUUGUUCCCUGCUGAGGCCCAUUCCCGGAGAAUUUCCUCUUUUUGGACUUCGGACCUUGUUCCACCACGUUUGCUUUAUAUUCUACAAAGGCCCUUCCUUUUUUCUUUUCAAAGGCACGGUUGUCCUCUUCUAUCCUUAAUCUUACGAUUAAGUCUUCAAGUUUCAUCUCUUUGCGUUUAUGCUUGAGAUAAUUUUUAAAAUCUUUCCACAUAGGUGGUAGUUUUUCUAUAAUAGCAGCAACUUAGAAAGAUUCACUUAGAGACACACCUUCUGCAUGUAUUUCAUGCAGGAUUACCUGUAAUUCUUGGACUUGGUUGAUGACUGCCUUGGAAUCCACCAUUUUGUAGUCCAAAAACCUGCCAACUACGAAUUUCUUCGUGCCAGCAUCUUCUAUUUUAUACUUUUUAUCCAAGGAAUCCCAUAAUUCUCUUGUUAUUUUGAGAGAACUAUACACAUUGUAUAAUGUGUUAUCCAAUCCAUUAAGGAUAUAAUUUCGGCACAAAAAAUCUGCAUGUUUCCAUGCAUCUAUUGCGGCAACAACUUGCCGGUCUGUUUUAUCUUCUUUGAGCACAAGGGGAUCUUCGUGAAGAAACCUCGCCAAGUUCAAAGUUGUGAGAUAAAAUAUCUUUUGUUGCCAUCUUUUAAAUUCUGUUCCAUUGAACUUUUCUGGUUUUUCACCAUGGUUCACAGGAACAUUUGGUAUAGAAGAUGUAGAAGAAGAACCAAUUAUAGUAGCAGAAUUGGUAUCCAUAUUUGUUGCAAAUAUAUAUACAUAAUAAUUGUCUUAAGAUUGUUAGUAAAUCCUUAAAGGAAAUUAUAUAUAUAUUUAUAUGAACUUAUCUUAUAGAAAGUAAUAUGUCAAGGCUUGUACUUGGUACUAUGUCCUUAAGACAAUUAUGUCCUCCGUAUGGUGCUCAGAGUUGAUAGCACUUGUCUCCCAUGAUACAAUGACUUCAUAUACCUUAGCAGCACUACAAAAGGUAUACACAACAAACCAAAAGAAAUGCUCUAACUCUCUCUCAAAAACACUAAGGAAACUGAUGAAAACUAUAUGCUACAAUGCUUUAGAAGACUAGAAUGCUUGAGAAAAUUGGAUGGAAAUGAAGGCUGCCCCCUCCUAUCUAUUUAUAGGAGGGUUGGUGACCCUUUGGAUGGGUACAUCACCCAUGAAAAGGCAUGGGGUGCCUCUUGAAGAGGUAUUAUUUGUAUAUGUUGGUCAAAACGACGUAGUUUUGACCAUAUACAGAAUAGGCGCAUCUAUUCGGUUUAUUAAAAUGACGUAGUUUAAGUGUUAGCAGAACCAAAACUACUUAGUUUUAGGCUUAGAAGAAAAGGCGCGACAAAAAUGACGUAGUUUAGGGCCGCCCGUUCAACCUUACAGAUACCGCUUCCUCAAAAUGACACAGUUUUGAUAAUACCGUUUCUCAAAACGACACUGUUUUGAUAAUAUAAUAAAUACAGCUUUCAAAACGACACAGUUUUGAUAAUAGAAUUAAAUAAAUAAAAUUUAAAUAAAUUAUAUACAGGACCCACGACCCAUGUGCCAGAGCCAGGCCGGACGGACGGUGGCGGCAGCGCGCGCGUGUGGGUUCGAACCUAGCCUUGACUAGGUCCUCUCCCUUCCACAAAAGUGGGGCGCCCCUUGGGGCCCAAACCCAAGAUCAUUUUCCUUGUAUAUAAACAUAUAAAAUAUUUAAUUCCUAACCUAUGUGGGACUUGGUUUUUCCCACAUGUAUUUAUUAUCUUUUAUCAUGAUCUUUGGGAGUUAAUAUCUCAUUCAUUACUCCAUGGAUUUGAGCUUCCAAAUACUUAAUUUAAUCUACUUAUGGAGUAGAAUACAUUAAUAUAUGAAAUCAUUAAAAUUAAUUAAUGACACCUAUAUUAAUUUAGGCUCAAAUUCCAACAUCAUUCAGAAAUGAAAAGCGGCCCUAAGGGGAGUACUUUCGUAUCAGGCAAGUUCCCUAGCUAUGCUAUUCCUUUUAGUUGUUCAAAUUUUAAGCUUGUGUGCAAGUUCCUUACUACGCAAGUGCUUUAAAUUAUGCAAAAUAUCUAGCUUAUGCUAGUCUUUUAAAUCGUGAAUUUUCCUAGAUUCUUGUUUUAUUUCAAGUUUUCGCACUCUCGUGCACUUAAACUACGCCCAUUAAUAACACUGUAGAUUGUUCCGAAAAGCUUCUUCGAUCAUAUAUAAAAGAAGUUUAUGCUAUUUGUUCAAUUAAAUUCAGUUGAUGUGCUUUUACCAAUUUAUUGAGCUAUAGUAAUCAUUUGGAGAUGAUCUAAUCCAAUCCAAUCCAAAUUGCUUUGGUGUGGAUUCUGAGACUAAAAUUAAGUAUGAACAACCCUGAUAAAGGGGAUACUUAUGUCAGGUAACCGACUUGGAGCAAUAAGAGUAAAAAAAAAUCAAGGUAUGCAUAAUAUAGGGUAUGGUAGAUAGGCUGAUAUCCUAAAGUUGUAUGUUCCGUAAUAUAUAUAUAUAUAUAUAUAUAUAUAUAUAUAUAUAUAUAUAUAUAUAUAUAUAUAUAUAUAUAUUACAUAAUACUAUGUAUAAAUAUAUUGUAUUAUUUAAUAUAUAUAUAUAUAUAUAAUAACAAAAAAUUAAGUAAAACAGAACAGAACUAUAAAAUGAAAAAAAUAGAUAAAUCUGAGUCCUUUGAAUUCACAAAGUCUCCUUAAAGCAAAUUUAUUCCCUCACUGGUGCUAAGGAUUAAUUGAAUAAUUUCUUCCCAAGAUAAAACGGAUUUCCAGUUCUUAAUUAGAAGCACUUCAAAAUUAAGAACACUUCGAACCAAAUUUUAUGUUAUGUACUAAACUUACAGUAAUGAUGCAUGAAAAAUAGUGCAUGAAUGGAUACACUUACACAGAAAUGGGAAAAAUAUUGCAGUACGGGACAAAAAAAUAUUGCAGUACGGGGACGGGAAAAAAUAUUGUAGAUUGCAGAACAGGACUUUGUUUUACAGAAACGGGAACGGGAAGGAACAAAACAGAGAACGGGGGAAAAUAACUUGUGUUAUUUUAGUGCGCCCAGAUGGAUUAUUUAUAGAAAUAAUUCUGCAGUUUAUCAGUUGGGUUAUUACCAUUGGCGUGAAAACCGUUCAAUACUACGUAGUAUCCACUACAAAAAAAAGGAGUCAUUGGCGACGGUCUCAAUACUGACGGCACAAUCCCCGUCGACAAUAACGUCAAUAUCGACGGCCUUGUCGUCGCCAAUGAUAGCCGUCGCUAAUGACCCUUUUUUGUCACCAGACACUCCCAGUGGAGGGAAAACCUCAUUGGCGACGGUGUUUAUUUUAGGGUCGACGGUGUUGCCAUCAGUAUUGAGUUAAUAGUGACGGGGUCAUUAUCGACGGGGGAUGCCAUCGAGAAUGACAAUUAAAACCUCUUCGACAGCAACGACUCUUUUUAUGAAAUUUUCUUCUCUAUUUUUCUUUCCUUCUCAAUAUCAGCCAUUUUCGCUCCUUAAUUUCCCCACGAAUCUCAAAUUGCAUUUAUUGAUUCUCUAAAGUUGACCCAUUUCACCCAUUUCGAUUUAUUCAUUCUGCUCUUUUGUUUUCUACUUCCCUUUCCCCGCAAUUCUGACUUCUCCUCUUGCCGUCGCCCUCUUCCUUCUUGUCGUCGCCCUCCGGCUGGUUCUUGUCGUCGCCACCAUCCUCUUUUCGCGCCAUUACAGUCCCUCUGUGUCUCUCUCGAGUGCAAGGUAUGUUUUCCUAAAUCCAAUUUUCCCCCAAAUGUAACCUAAUAAUCUAUGUUUCUACAAUUUCACUCUAUUUUUCCCCAAAUAUUAGUUGUUGUGUAUUACAAAUUUAUAGUUUACAAGUUUUUAUGAAAAUUUUAAUGUGACAUGAGAUACCCAAUUGCAGUGUAUUACUUCAUUCUUUCUGUUUGGUGCUGAACUGGGAUUUUCAUGGCUUAGUGACAUACAUCCAACUUGUGUUGAUAAAUUAUUGUGUUGAAGAAUUUAGUUAUUUCUUGAAUCAAAGUUCAGGUAUGCUCUGAUUUUACAUUAAUUUAGAAAUUUUCAGAGGGUAUAUGCGCUGACUUGCUUGGUAUAAUGGGUAUUAAUUAAUUUGUUUUUAGGUAUGUUCAAUCUCUGUCCUGUGAAUAUUUUAGUUAUAUGGCCAUAUCUAUCUUUGUGAAGAGUUAGAGAAAGAGAAAAAAAUAUUUAAUUUGGCUGUGGUGUUUAUUGAAAAAUAGAGUUAGCUGUAUAUUUGGUGGACAGUCAAUUGUAAAAGAUAUAUAUAAUAUGUUUUCAUAACUAAAGGAAUAUCUCGUUUUGUGUAAUAUUUGUGAAUAUAUAGGCAUAAAAUUUUUUAUACAGUUAAUUUAUACAAAUGAGAUUCCCCUGAAGGACAAAUGGUUGUGUGAAAGGAAACACUUGAUUAAGUGGCAUUCUCUCCGUACUAGUUUAGAGAAAUAUAUAACACUUUAUAAUUAUUAAUUUUACAUGUAUAAAGAGCAUUUAAACAUCAAUCAAAGUUUGAUACUAGCAUUUGAAGAUUUCUCAUAUAAUGGUUGUAUGUAAAUGUUGUGUAAUGUUCGUUUAUUGGGUUAUUGAAGAUUGCUCAACUUGGUAAAUAUAGUGAUUAUAAUAUCAUCUGGGAGUUUAAGAAAGUGAUCUUCUUUGUGUUUCUUUGAUUUCUUAUUCAUCCUUGAAGAACUGUCUUUUUUUCUUCAGUAAUCACUAUGAUCAAUUAAAUGUUUGUAUAUAUAUGGGAGAGAUUUAGGGGAAAUUAACUGUCUUUGUUUAUGGUUGUCAAGUGUUUGUGAGUAUGUUGUUAAAAAAAAUAUGAGUAAGGGUAAAAAUAACAGUUAUUCCAUGUGACUUGACAUGUGCAUAUUUUCAUAUAGUUUAGGAAGCUUAGAAACCCAUUUAAGAUUCACUUAGUAGGAGUGAAUCUCAAAUAGUCCCCAUUUUGGGACUGUUCUUGUAUUUUUCGAUCUCACUUAGGUCGGUGUUAACGGCUUGAGCACGUCUUUAUAUUUUUUGAAUUUUCGGUCAGUAUAUAUCUCUUGACGUUCUUCGGGUACAUAUUUAGACUAUGAUGUGUUAGUCUAUUUCGUGUACUUGAAGACCAUGGGGAGGUGCUGCUGAAAUUUCUGAAAAAUUUAAAGAUGUGUUCAAGUUGUUGGCAUCAGUGAGGCGACACAUCCGAGAAUGGGAUAAAAGCCUGACCCGUUAGAGUGGGAGAUGAAGUUAGGAAACUCAUAAGCUUGCAUAUACAUUAACUUGGAGACUUGAUUGUGUUUGUUUAACUUUUCAUAUUUAUAGCAGACAGUUGUCCAAGAUGUCUGUUGAUCGAAGUUGGAUGGAACUUAGGGUAGCCACUGAUAAGAGUGGGCUUAGCUCUGAGUAUCGUAGUGGGGUUGAACAGUUUCUCAAUUUCGCAUUUGAGCAAGUCAGCGGCGAUGAGAUUAGAUGUCCUUGUAAGAGGUGUGUGAAUGAAGUGUGGAAGGAAAUGAGUGAUGUCAUGUGUGACUUAUUUGCGUAUGGGUUCAAGAAGGGUUAUACGACAUGGAUCUAUUAUGGGGAAACCUGGUUGGAUGAACAUGAAUCAGAACCAGAAUCUAGAGGUGACGAAACCUUUAACUAUACUAACAUGAUAGUCGAAGCUACUGGUUCAUACUUCCAGUGGAAUACAGACAGGGAUGAUAGUAGCGUCGAGCAAGAGCCGAAUGACGGGGCUAAGGGUUUAUAUGAGUUAUUGCAUGAAGCAGCGACGCCACUAUAUGACGGGCACGAAAAGCACACCGUCUUAUCUGUCGUGACUAAGUUUUUACACUUUAAGAACGAGCAUGACUGUAGCGAGAGAGGUUUUAAUGAACUGUUAAGCAUUGUGAAGGAGUGCUUACCUGCAGGCAAUAAGUUACCGGAGUCGUACUAUGAUGUGAAGAAAAUGGUUAAAAGGCUCAAUUUAGGGUAUGAAAAGAUUGAUGCUUGUGAGAAUGACUGUAUGUUGUAUUACGGUGAUGUCAAUAAAGAUAAGAGGUCAUGUGAUAUUUGUGGUACAAGUAGAUACCGUGAACAGCGCAAGAAAAAGGGAAAAGACGUGCCGAGAAAGAUCUUACGUUACUUUCCCAUUUCCCCGAAGCUUCAGCGGUUGUUCAUGUCAACAUAUACCGCCGAGGAUAUGAGGUGGCACUCUACAUGGGACAUAGUCGAAGGUCAACUGACACACCCGGCAGAUGGGCUUUAGUGGAAAAAUUUUGAUAACAAGCACCCCUCGUUUGCUGAAGAGGUUCGCAAUGUUAGGCUUGGACUUGCUACGGAUGGGUUUAAUCCAUUUAACGGGCCUUACACAAAGCCCUACUCAACUUGGCCGGUGAUUAUUGUGGUGUAUAACCUCCCGCCAUGAAAGAUCCCUACAUGUUCAUGCCUUUACUGAUUCUGGGUGAUAAGAGUCUGAGUAAAGACAUCAAUGUAUACCUCAGGCCGUUAGUUGAUGAGUUGAAGAUGUUGUGGGAAAAAGGGGUUCAAACUUAUGAUGUAUCUCUUAAGCAGAACUUUGACAUGAAGGCAGCUUUACUGUGGACAAUAAAUGACUUCCCGGCAUUAGAAAUGAUCAGUGGAUGGUCGACUCAUGGGGGCUUGUCAUGUCCCGUGUGCAUGGGGUCAGUUAAAGUUAUGCGGCUCAAACAUGGGGGGAAAAUGAGUUUCUUUGCAACAUCCAGACAAUUUUUGCCGAUUGAACAUCGUUAUCGACGGAUGAGUAGACAACUCAAUCGAAAAAUAGAGUAACGUCAAGUACCUGGACGUCUUUCUGGGUCAGCAGUGUUGAGUUGGAUUAGUCAUUUGAAGUUUCCACCUCCAGGGAAGAAUCAUAGAUUAGAGCGAGCUUAUGGUUACAGAAAGGUUCACAACUGGACACACAGAUCCAUGUUCUUUGACCUGCCUUAUUGGGCUACACUCUGCAUCCGUCAUUAUAUAGAUCCAAUGCAUACUGAGGAGAACGUAUUUGAUAACAUUUUUUAUACAAUCCUAGAUGCCAGUGGUAGAACAAAGGACAACAACAAGUCGAGGCUUGAUUUGGUAGAAAUGAACAUUAGGGAAGAUUUGUGGCUGUAUCAGGAGGGUAGUAAGACGGUAACGCCUAAAGCUGAAUAUACUUUGACCAGGGAACAGUUGAUAUUGAUAUGUAAUUGGAUCAAUGGACUGAAGCUCCCAGAUGGAUAUUCUUCAAAUAUAUCAAGGUAUUGUAAAGUCGAAGAGUUGAAGUUUCAGGGUCUCAAAAGUCAUGAUUGUCACGUAUUCAUGCAGAAGUUGAUCCCUGUGGCAUUUAUCAACUUGUUACCGAAACGUGUGGUUGAAGCACUGACAGAGCUUUCUAAUUUCUUCAGAUAUCUAUGCUUAACGGUGCUUCAGCUCAAAGACAUAGAUAAAAUAGAGAUGCAGAUAGUGGAAAUAAUGUGCAAGUUAGAAAAGAUCUUCCCCCCAUCAUUUUUUGAUUCAAUGGAGCAUUUGCUGAUUCAUUUGCCAUACGAAGCUAAGUUUGGCGGUCCCGUACAAUAUAGAUGGAUGUAUCCAUUUGAGAGGUAAUGACAUUAAUGUUUUUAAUACGGUAAAAUGUUCAUUCUUUUUUGCUAAUCUAUAUACCACAUAGGUAUAUGCAACGUCUAAAGCAAAAGGUGAAGAAUAGAGCCCGUGUAGAGGGGUCAAUUGCUGAAAGUUAUGUUAUGGAGGAACUUGUUAAUUUUUGCUUGUUGUACUUUGAGCCGAAUGUUCAGACGAAGCACAAUCGCUUACGUCGGAAUCAAGCUGUUGCACACGAGGAAAAUGGAGAAUUAACGGCCUUUAGUCAUCCUGUACUCCCAUUCGGUGGUAAAAAAAGGCGCUUCUUGACCGAUAGUGAGUAUGCAGCUGCCACGUUAUAUGCACUUGUCAACAUGAAUGAAGUAGUGCCAUACAUUAUGUAAGUAGUCAUAACUAUAUAUGUCUGGUAUAAUUGUGUCAAGUUCCUUUACAAACACAUUGAGUAUAUAACUGUGCUACAGUCAAUAUGAUGCUGAAGUACGUGAAGCGAAUCCGAGUAUAUCGCACGGGGAUUUAUAAAAUUUGAGAAAUGGAGAAUUUGUGCAAUGGUUUAAAGAUCAUGUAAGUCUAACCUUUACAAGUUCAAUGAAUCUACCAUCAUAGAUUUAUUCUUAUGGCGUAAUUAACUUUAGAAUAUGUUGUAUUAAUGUACAUUAGGUCCUCACAGAUGAGUUAGCUGACAAUCGGCUAAAGCUUAUAGCCGAUGGCCCUAAAAGAUCUGUAGAUACUUAUACAUGCUGCAUUGUCAACGGUUACAGAUUUAAGUGUUGCGAUAUUGGGGAAGUCGCUUCUGCUGAUUCUGGUGUUGUGGUGAAAGGUAGCUGCUAUGAUAACAUUUGGGAUGACUGGUAUGGACGAUACCAUCACGCGAGCGGAUCUACCAGCUAGCUCAGGAGGUUAUCCACGGCUCUAUAGAUCCUACAUCCGCCAUUGACGACCUCAUGGGUGUAGUACGGGAGGAGGCAAUCCGCGUUUGUUCAGUUGUCUUGGCCAACAUCUUCCCACCACAUAUUCGACAGGUAAAAAUAAUUAAAUUCUGUAUUUCUUUAUUUAAUUUAUGUAAUUUAUAAUUAUAAUUUGUAAUUGUAUUUCUAUGACACGCAAACACACACAUAACACCGCGUAGGUAUUAGACACAUGUUAGAACUUACGGGGCUCGAUUCCGACAUACGAAAUCCGAGUUAUCGUCCAGUUUGCAAAACUCGCCAACAAUUAGGCAAAAAGCCGAAAAACAGCCCAAAACCCGCAUCGGUCGUCCGAAUGCCACGUAAACACACACAUAGCACCGCGUAGGUAUUAGACACGCGUUAGAACUUACGGGACUUGAUUCCGACAUAUAAAAUCCGAGUUAUCGCCCAGUUUACAAAACUCGCCAACACUUGGGCAAAAAGCCGAAAAUCAGCCCAAAACCCGCAUCGGCCAUCCGAAUGCCACGCAAACACACACAUAGCCCCACGUACGUAUUAGACACGCGUUAGAACUUACGGGACUCGAUUCUAACAUACGAAAUCUGAGGUAUCGCCCAGUUUGCAAAACUCGCCAAAACUUAGGCAAAAAGCCGAGAAACAGCCCAAAACCCGUAUCGGCCGUCCGAAUGCCACGCAAACACACACAUAGCACCGCAUAGGUAUUAGACACGCGUUAGAACUUAUGGGACUCAAUUACGACAUACGGAAUCCGAGUUAUCGCCCAGUUUGCAAAACUCGCCAACACUUAGGCAAAAAGCCGAAAAACAGUCUAAAACCCGCAUCGGGGGUCCGAAUGCCACGUAAACACACACAUAGAACCGCAUAGGUAUUAGACACAUGUUAGAACUUACGGGACUCAAUUCUGACAUACGGAAUCCGAGUUAUCGCCCAGUUUGCAAAACUCGCCAACACUUAAGCAAAAAGCCAAAAAUAGCCCAAAACCCGCAUCGGCCGUCCGAAUGCCAUGCAAACACACACAUAGUACCGCGUAGGUAUUAGACACGCGUUAGAACUUACGGGACUCAAUUCUGACAUACGGAAUCCGAGUUAUCGCCCAGUUUGCAAAACUCGCCAACACUUAGGCAAAAAGCCAAAAAACAGCCCAAAACCGGCAUCGGCCGUCCGAAUGCCACGCAAACACACACAUAGCACCGCGUAGGUAUUAGACACGCAUUAGAACUUACGGGACUCGAUUCUGACAUACGGAAUCCGAGUUAUCACCCAGUUUGCAAAACUCGCCAACACUUAGGCAAAAAGCCAAAAAAUAGCCCAAAACCCGCAUCGGCCGUCCGAAUGCCACGCAAACACACACAUAGCACCGCAUAGGUAUUAGACACGCGUUAGAACUUACGGGACUCGAUUCCGACAUACGGAAUCCGAGUUAUCGCCCAGUUUGCAAAACUCGCCAACACUUGACGAACACAAUCAAAACUAAUUUAAAUAUGUUCUAUUUUUGAAUUCGUUAUUAAUAUUUUAAUAUUAUAGGGUCUUGUUGAUGAGACUUCGGCGGGUGGAGGCUGUGGCACAAGAGAUGCCCGUGGUGGAGAUGGUGAUGAUCGUCGUUUUGAUGCUGAUGAGACUAUUGAGGGUGGGACCGGCAG